UGGGGAAUAUUGCGCAAUGGGGGGAACCCUGACGCAGCCAUGCCGCGUGAAUGAAGAAGGCCUUCGGGUUGUAAAGUUCUUUCGGUAUUGAGGAAGGUUGAUGUGUCAAUAGCACAUCAAAUUGACGUUAAAUACAGAAGAAGCACCGGCUAACUCCGUGCCAGCAGCCGCGGUAAUACGGAGGGUGCGAGCGUUAAUCGGAAUAACUGGGCGUAAAGGGCACGCAGGCGGUUAUUUAAGUGAGGUGUGAAAGCCCUGGGCUUAACCUAGGAAUUGCAUUUCAGACUGGGUAACUAGAGUACUUUAGGGAGGGGUAGAAUUCCACGUGUAGCGGUGAAAUGCGUAGAGAUGUGGAGGAAUACCGAAGGCGAAGGCAGCCCCUUGGGAAUGUACUGACGCUCAUGUGCGAAAGCGUGGGGAGCAAACAGGAUUAGAUACCCUGGUAGUCCACGCUGUAAACGCUGUCGAUUUGGGGGUUGGGGUUUAACUCUGGCGCCCGUAGCUAACGUGAUAAAUCGACCGCCUGGGGAGUACGGCCGCAAGGUUA
rnacentral:rRNA from 1 species